CAAGCCCUCCCUCUUACUGAAAUUAGGGCUCCGACUGAAAUUAACUCUCUGACCAAGAGGUGUCCCCAGUGGUGCCCUCCGACCAAGAGGUGCCCUCAAGCUAAAACCGAGAAGCAAGCAUUAAAGGAAGAAGAAGCAAGCAUUGAAGGAAGAAGGAACUGGUUGUAGCUCCAUCUCCAUUGGUGUCCCCAAACUCUCUCUCGACUUUGAAGGUUGAUGUCAAAGGCAAGCCUGUCUCUGCCUCUCUCUCUCUGGGUGAUUUUUCUGUCAGGAACCAAAUUAGGACUCACUUUCUUCCCCGAAGUUGGAGUCUUGUCCAAAGAUGGAGGGCAUUUAUGAGUUAAUUCGUGCACUAGCUUUACAUAAACUAAAUUUUCAGAUUAAAUGCUUUCUUAGACCUUUGACAUUGGAUUAUCAGUAUGGCAAGGGGUCCCUUCCUUGGAUGACUUCGUUGCUGAACAGAGUAGGGAGAUGUCCUUGUGAACAUCCACCAAUGCUUCCGAAUCAUACACUUCCAUCUUGGAUAUUA